UACAGAGGGUGCGAGCGUUAAUCGGAAUUACUGGGCGUAAAGCGCACGUAGGUGGCGACGUAAGUCGGGUGUGAAAGCCCCGGGCUUAACCUGGGAAUUGCAUUCGAGACUGUGUCGCUGGAGUACGGAAGAGGAAGGCGGAAUUCCCGGUGUAGCGGUGAAAUGCGUAGAUAUCGGGAGGAAUACCGAUGGCGAAGGCAGGUCUCUGGGCUGACACUGACGCUCAUGCACGAAAGCGUGGGGAGCAAACAGG
rnacentral:rRNA from 1 species